UUACGGCCAUAUCACGUUGAAACACCGAUCACCGAAGUUAAGCAACAUCGAUCCUGGUCAGUACUUACAUGGGAGACCGUUUGGGAAUACUAGGUGAUGUAAG